UGGGGAAUAUUGGACAAUGGGCGAAAGCCUGAUCCAGCAAUGCCGCGUGAGUGAUGAAGGCCUUAGGGUUGUAAAGCUCUUUUACCCGGGAAGAUAAUGACUGUACCGGGAGAAUAAGCCCCGGCUAACUCCGUGCCAGCAGCCGCGGUAAUACGGAGGGGGCUAGCGUUGUUCGGAAUUACUGGGCGUAAAGCGCACGUAGGCGGCUUUGCAAGUUAGAGGUGAAAGCCCGGAGCUCAACUCCGGAAUUG
rnacentral:rRNA from 1 species